AUUGAACGCUGGCGGCAGGCCUAACACAUGCAAGUCGAACGGUAACAGGAAACAGCUUGCUGUUUCGCUGACGAGUGGCGGACGGGUGAGUAAUGUCUGGGAAACUGCCUGAUGGAGGGGGAUAACUACUGGAAACGGUAGCUAAUACCGCAUAACGUCGCAAGACCAAAGAGGGGGACCCUCGGGCCUCUUGCCAUCGGAUGUGCCCAGAUGGGAUUAGCUUGUUGGUGGGGUAACGGCUCACCAAGGCGACGAUCCCUAGCUGGUCUGAGAGGAUGACCAGCCACACUGGAACUGAGACACGGUCCAGACUCCUACGGGAGGCAGCAGUGGGGAAUAUUGCACAAUGGGCGCAAGCCUGAUGCAGCCAUGCCGCGUGUAUGAAGAAGGCCUUCGGGUUGUAAAGUACUUUCAGCGGGGAAGAAGGGAGUAAAGUUAAUACCUUUACUCAUUGACGUUACCCGCAGAAGAAGCACCGGCUAACUCCGUG
rnacentral:rRNA from 1 species